CACGUAGGGCGCAAGCGUUGUCCGGAAUUAUUGGGCGUAAAGAGCUCGUAGGCGGUCUGUUACGUCUGCUGUGAAAACCCAGGGCUUAACCCUGGGCUUGCAGUGGAUACGGGCAGACUAGAGGCAGGUAGGGGAGAAUGGAAUUCCCGGUGUAGCGGUGAAAUGCGCAGAUAUCGGGAGGAACACCGGUGGCGAAGGCGGUUCUCUGGGCAUUACCUGACGCUGAGGAGCGAAAGCGUGGGGAGCGAACAGG
rnacentral:rRNA from 1 species